UACAGAGGUGGCAAGCGUUGUUCGGAAUUACUGGGCGUAAAGGGCUCGUAGGCGGCCAACUAAGUCAGACGUGAAAUCCCUCGGCUUAACCGGGGAACUGCAUCUGAUACUGGAUGGCUUGAGUUCGGGAGAGGGAUGUGGAAUUUCAGGUGUAGCGGUGAAAUGCGUAGAUAUCUGAAGGAACAGCAGUGGCGAAGGCGACUUCCUGGACCAAUACUGACGCUGAGGCGCGAAAGCGUGGGGAGCAAACGGG
rnacentral:rRNA from 1 species